UAUAUCUCCUAUCUCCCAGAAUCCAACCUGGUUCCACCACUCGCUGCCGUGGCCUAAACCCUGCCUCUGCCGACACAAUUCCCACCUCCGGCGGCGAAACGGCAAGAAUCGAUGUCGGUUUCUCUGCUGGCUUGAGCGCCGUGAAAGCAGCCUCUGGCUCAGAGCAGGUGCUGGAGAUCGUGGUUGGUUUCAGACCUUGGCUGUUCAGACAGCCCGUUUCCUGUUACAAGCUGCAGGACGGCGGUGGUUCCAGCCUCGGGUCGUCACCGCAGCACCAAGAUUAUCGGUGGCGGGGUCGGGGUGGGGAAGGGGUUGCUCCUUUCUUCCCUCAGCCUGGAUAAACUCAGCCUUUGGGUCCACUCCAGAACUUCCACGGAAGGACAGAGGCAUAAACACGAGAGAGUCUUUGCUGAUGGGCAUUUUCGCUGUUUUCUUUCCAACUAUCUCACCCUGCAGUUGGCUGUCCUAGCUAGUUAAUAUCUAGUUGGUGGUCAGGAGCUCCCCUGUUUCUGGUAAUUAAAGGGCAAAAAGCUUGGUUAAUGCCUAACUAAGUUUGCCUGGUAAGAUGUUGUUCCUUCUGGAACCUUGAUGUCAGCAAAAUCUUUUGUAAACCAGGUCGUGCACCAUUAAGGUUGCCCACCCAACCUUAACUCUGCCCUUUUCCAGCAAUGCCUUGUUAACACACAGGCAUUCACUUUGCUGGCACAUUCGCUGAACCGUACAGGCUCUUCAGCCCCAUUAAUCACCCUUCAAAUAAAAUCCAUCAGCUGGGCCUGACCAGGGAUAGGCAGUCAGGGUGGGGCACAGGCUGGCCCUAGCCGUGACGGAGACUGCAGCACACAAGACCGUCACCUGCCACUACUCAGAGACACUCCCCACCUCAGCGAUCCCAUCUCACUCAUCUACUCUACCCCACCCAAUUCCCCAAAACCUACGAGGGGGAGCCCAUUGUCCCUUGUGAUGUCCAGAGCUCCACUGUGAGAACCAAAGGGUUAAUUUAGCUAUUGCUUCAAGGUCGACUCGCUGAUCUCCACCCUGAUUUUCAGCAGUUCUGGCCCAUGUUGUUUAUUGAAAAUAGACGGCACCAGAUUCCCUGUAGACAUUUUUAUUAAAUUGGAAAAAAAAUUCCAAAAAUCAAG
rnacentral:lncRNA from 1 species